CCGCACAGCGGUGGAGUAUGUGGUUUAAUUCGAUGCAACGCGAAGAACUUUACCUGGUCUUGACAUCCCGGAGACCCUUAGGAAACUAGGGGUGCUUCCAUCUGGAAGAAUCUGGAGACAGGUGCUGCAUGGCUGUCGUCAGCUCGUGUCGUGAGAUGUUGGGUUAAGUCCCGCAACGAGCGCAACCCUUGCCUUUAGUUGCCAGCAGUUCGGCUGGGCACUCUAAAGGGACUGCCGGUGUUAAACCGGAGGAAGGUGGGGAUGACGUCAAGUCCUCAUGGCCUUUAUGACCAGGGCUACACACGUACUACAAUGGCCGAUACAAAGGGCAGCGACACUGCGAGGUGAAGCCAAUCCCGUAAAAUCGGUCUCAGUCCGGAUUGGAGUCUGCAACUCGACUCCAUGAAGUUGGAAUCGCUAGUAAUCGUGGAUCAGCAUGCCACGGUGAAUACGUUCCCGGGCCUU
rnacentral:rRNA from 1 species